ACGUAGGGUGCGAGCGUUAAUCGGAAUUACUGGGCGUAAAGCGUGCGCAGGCGGUUAUGUAAGACAGAUGUGAAAUCCCCGGGCUUAACCCGGGAACUGCAUUUGAAACUGCAGUGCUUGAGUAAGGGAGAGGGGGAUGGAAUUCCGCGUGUAGCAGUGAAAUGCGUAGAUAUGCGGAGGAACACCGAUGGCGAAGGCAAUCCCCUGGACCUGUACUGACGCUCAUGCGCGAAAGCGUGGGGAGCAAACAG
rnacentral:rRNA from 1 species